rnacentral:misc_RNA from 1 species
AAGUCGUAACAAGGUUUCCGUAGGUGAACCUGCGGAAGGAUCAUUAACACGUAUCCAACGUUAAACCCCCCUGUGAACCUUCAUUGUGCUCCCCCAUUCCGUUAGGACGCGGCAAUCCCUGGUAAAUCAUCGCCGAACAGUUUUGAUUCAGGGAGUCGAGGCAAGUGGCCUGGCAUUCGAAAGAAUGGCGCAGUAACGAUCGCUAGAGGCCGACAUGGCCGGCGACCGGGUCACUGGGCUCACGCCCUUUGCAUGAAAACGGGCCUGCGCUUAAUGUGCGGCCACCAAACUCGAACAACUGUUAACAAUGGAUAUCUUGGUUCUC